CCUACGGGUGGCAGCAGUGGGGAAUAUUGCUCAAUGGGGGAAACCCUGAUCCAGCAACGCCGCGUGAGGGAAGAAGGUUUUCGGUAUGUAAAGCCCUUUUGGUAGGGAAGAUAAUGACGGUACCUGACGAAUAAGCACCGGCUAACUCCGUGCCAGCAGCCGCGGUAAUACGGAGGGUGCAAGCGUUACUCGGAAUUACUGGGUGUAAAGGGUGCGUAGGCGGGCAUGCAAGUCUGAUGUGAAAUCCUGUAGCUUAACUACAGAACUGCAUUUGAAACUGUGGGUCUAGAGUGUGGGAGAGGUAGGCGGAAUUCUUGGUGUAGGGGUAAAAUCCGUAGAUAUCAAGAGGAACACUCAUGGCGAAGGCGACCUACUGGAACAUAACUGACGCUGAUGCACGAAAGCGUGGGGAGCAAACAGGAUUAGAUACCCUUGUAGUC
rnacentral:rRNA from 1 species